GAAGAAAAAAAUCUUCUAAUUAUAUAAGAAUAUGUGGUGUUUCAUCCCGUAUGUCAUACACAUUAAAAAAUCUCUCCAAUUUCAUAUAAGUUGCCUUCCGAUUUUAGAGGGAUUUUAUAGAAAUACAUAUGAGUUGGGUUGAACUUAAUUUCCCCUUUGUGCUUAAUUUGGUAAGUUUACGUAUUUGAGCAUGAAUAAGUUUUUGAUUAACUUGUAGCUAUGAGACUUUACCAUUUGCACUAAGCUUAUGAAUUGUGCUAACCAUAACAAAUUGCCCAGUGGUGAGGGCGAAAAUUUCGACUCCCAAAAUACAAAAAAAAAGGAAGAUUUCGGAUUCGAGAUUCCAAGCUGGUGAGUCUGCUUGACUGUGGUCAAUGGGAUGCUGAAAUGUCUUUGUGAGUUUUCCCAGCCCCCAGAAUGGAUGGAUAACCGUAGCUUGCCAUCAGUUGUCCUCAUUUUUUAAAUAAAAAAUGGUUAUGAAUUUUGCUUUAAAUCGUUCUUAUAUGAAAAUAAAAAUUGUUGCAUGUAUUACUAAACAAAACAAAAAAAUUAAGGGAACUUUAACGAAAAACUCGCAGUACUGUUCAUUUAACAAAAAAAAAAUCAUAUUUUUACACUAAAAAAUCAAUCAUGAUAUUAUUCACUUUACUCUUUAUUUUGUUCUUAUCGUUAAAACUCAAAGUUUUCAAGUCAUUUUCAUUAAUUUUCCUAAAAAUUAAGAGUAAUGAUAUUUAUAUCAUAUUUUUGUACCACAUUUUCAUACCUUCUUAGGUGGCAUUUGAUGUGAAUAGCCAUAUCAUUUGAAUUAAUCAGAUUUUUAAAUUUAGUUCAUUAUUUAAUAAACUAAUAAUUGAGAAAAAAACUAGUUAAUUAAAUGAUGAUUGUGGUAUACGAGAAGUCUUUCUUCUUCAUUUCCUAAGGUGGUAUAGAAAUGUGGGACUAGGAUUCUCUCCCCUCCUCUCACAUUAUCUUAUUGUCAUUUUCUUGCUAUAAAAAAUUAAUAUAAGAUAUUGACGUGGUUUAACCGUGACUGUUCAAAGAAAAAAAAAGAAGGGAAAGGAAGAGGAAAAAAGAGAAAAGAGAAUCCUAAGGCAGAAAGGAAGGUAGUGCCACUUGGCAGAGAGCAUCGAGUGACGCGCCGGCUUACAGGACUUUUGACUUUAUUCUUCGCCGGCGACGACCUCCACCCGCGUACAAAGAACAACACCCCAAACCCAACUAAACUACCUGAAAAAGAAAUACAACUAACCAAUAAUUUUCUCUAUCCGAAAACGAAACAAACAUAAAUUUUUAUACUUAAAAAUUCCCAACCAUUGCUUUCUCUGGAAGUCAUCAUUUUGCCCUCUUUCCUUCUUCUUCUUGUUCUUCUAUUUUGUCCCUUUUUCUUGCUUUUUUUCAAACCCCAAAAUCCCUUUUUUCAACGACAGAGCUGGCGCUCAGCUCGCAUUUUACAUAACCCAGUUUUCAGAAUCCCCCCGAAACUUAGUUUGCAGUCCUGCUUUUCCCACAAGUGCUUUUGUUCUGUUUCUUGAAGACGCUCACGGGUUCUCCAUGGACAGAGUCGGACUUGGACCGCUCCAUUUAAUCCCAAUCUGUACGUUUUUUUUCCCCAGCAACAAUUCUUUCUCUGAAUCUUUGUUUUUUUUCUUUUUUUGGGUUUUUGUGGUGGGUUUUGAAUCCUUUGUUGAAGAAUGAGUCAGCUCAGUCUGUUAUUGCAGGAAGCGGUGCGGCGGGAGAGGGCGGCGAGGACGGUCCUCGAGGUUCUGAGAGAGCAAAUGGACGACGCGGGUGAAGCGAGGGGGGUUUUGGGCAGGCGGAGCUUCAAGCAACGGCUGAGACUGAACGGGUUCGGAUGCUGUGGGGCCACCUGGGGCUUCGGACGGACGGCGGCGAUUGGCGCCAGAGAGGAUGAGGAAGAUCAAGACCCGCAAAAUCUUCCGCCACAAGAACGAGUGGUUAUAACUGUGGACCAGGCUGAACCGGUUAAUAUUUGGAAUCCGGAUUGCGUUGCUCCGGUUUCGAACGGGUCGGGUAUGAAUUUAGCUGCCGCUCUGGCAGCCGAGCGACAGUUCCGGGAUCCGCAGGAUACGGAGGGAGAGGGGUCGGUGGGUCCCGCGGAUAAUGCAAGGACGGGAACAACGGCGCCGGGAACGCCGAUGAGAGUGUCGCUGAUGAGGCUGCUUGAGGAGACGGAGAUGGACGGCUGCGACGCGUUUGGCGGUGGCGCGACGGCGGACAGUGAAAAAGCAGCGGAGGGAGGGAUAGGGAGCGAUUCGAUGUGCUGCGUGUGCAUGGGAAGGAAAAAAGGCGCGGCUUUCAUCCCAUGUGGGCACACAUUUUGCAGGGUGUGUUCGAGGGAGGUGUGGUUGAAUCGAGGUUCCUGUCCCCUCUGCAACCGUUCGAUCCUCGAGAUCCUCGAUAUAUUCUAAUGAUCGUCCGAUUUCAUUGGAUGAUCAAAGAAAUAACAAAAAAAACCAGAAAAUAUUUGAUGUGAUUGUUUGUGGGAAGAUGCCUCGAGAUUGGUGCAUUGUUGAAACUUUGAUGGUGGAAUUUUCAAAUCCAAUUCAAUUUGUUCACAUGUAAUAUGGGGUUCUUGAAUUUAAUUAGUGUUUCUAUCACUCUAUUUUUCUGCAACUUGAAGGGUACAAUGUGAAUUUUGCGUACAUUUUUAUGGUAAUUUUUUGUUUUGAAGUUAUGUUUCUUGUGAUGGCAUUGGUAUCUCACGUUCUCAAAACAACUAUGCACUAUCACACGUUUAAUUUUCGUAAGUAAUAAUACAUGUUAUUUUAGUCGUUAUGUAAUAAGUUUGAGUUUCGACCGGUACACUUUAUAUGACUUUAAGUAAAACAUCACUUGUACAUAUAAUUUAAAGUCACAUAUUUUUUUUUCUACGUAACAAUAGUAACAAUGCAUUAUUUUCUUGAAAUAUUGUCCCAAUGGCACCAGAAACGUAAAUGCUUUGUUCUCAUAAAAUAUAUAAUAUUAACCCUACCUUUGACUGAAGAAGCUAAUUGUCAGAUAAACAUGUUUGAUUUCUUUGGAGGCACAUGUACAAGGAAGCUUUUGUUAAAACAAAAGCAACUGUCGUCUUUUAAAUUUGUCGCUAAAAAAAAAGCUUGAAACGUUGGCUUUUGUUUGUGUUUCAAAUGGAAUCUUGACGAACAUUUGGGGUGGGUUGGACCAACCACAACUACCAUCAACUUAUAAGUUGGUGGGCAGAAAUUGGUGGUUGUGCGAAUCCAUUUAUGUAGGCUUUAGAUAAUGUGUUAUUUUUUCCAAGCCCAUAGAAAAACGUCCAAUGUUGCACGAAGUUGGGCCUAGGUCCUUCGGUUCUAUCAUCUUCUGGUUACCGCUGGGGAUUCAAUGGGUUUUUUCCCAUACGUAUUAAAAGUGCAUAUUUAAGUUACAUAUGAGAACAAGAGUCGUUGGAUUCUGUAAGAACAAACAACUUAGCAACUCUUGUUCUCACGUGUAGCUUAAAUGUGUAUACUUUUGGCAUGCAUUUGAGGAAGCCUCGAAAAUUUCAACCUACCAUCAAAUCAUUAUUAAGAAGUUCAUCGCGAUGUUAUCUCCAAAUUAAUCAAAUACUCUGAUGUGCAAUCGUAAUUUGUUGACCUAAAUCACGUAUGAAUAGCACCACGGAAUUUGGAUCUAGCAAUUCGAAGGAGAUGCCCUGUUAUUAAUUAUAUAUUUUUGACCGAAGUAAAGAAUAUAGGUAAACUUAUGAUAUAUCAAUCUGCAUGGCAUAUAAGUAUCAAAAGAUUCAUGUAUACAUUUUUCAUGUAAAAGGUGGGGAUCAUUUUCAUGUAUAUACGUGUAUAUAGUAAACGAAUAUAGAGAAUGACUUGUAUGGCACAAUGCUAUCUAGCUAUCUUGUGUUCAACCUAUUUUUUCACAUGAAAAAAGAAUCCAAGCUUUGUUGUAUAUUUUUGAAUUUUUAUAAAAAAAAAAAAAAAAAACAAAAAUCCCUUGUUUUUUUGGCGAUGGAUUAUCUUCUUUUUUCAUUGUUUUUGUUUUAGUACAAUAAUCACAUUAUCGCAUGAUUUUAUUAACUCAAGCAUGUAUCAUAAUAUGAGUAGACAACAUUACAUGGCAAAACAAAUUUGAUCACAAUCUUGUGAUAUGAAUCUUUUCUUCUUCUUUUCUGUUCGAAAUGAUAAUCAAAUAUGAAUCUAGUCGCCCAUAACAUUGCAUGCGGGAUGGACCCCAUUUAUGACUUAUCCAAAUUCUCAAUCACAUGACCGAAUGAGCUACCGGUCAAAUUUUUGCACGAUCAAAGAAGAAAGAAUCUCUUCAGGGAGGGUCCACUUUAUUAUGUACCUGAUCAAUUGAUAUAUUACCUCAUCACAUCAAGGAUCUUAUACGAGCAAUCCUAAUGAUUUGGAUCCUCUCCAAAGCAGGGUCCGAAUCCUCCUAACCAGAUAACAUAGAUUGUUGAAUUUUGAUACAACGGUUAUAAUUAUUAUAACUUUUAGAGGGAUCCUCUAAUUGUACCUAUUGGAUCAAAAUUCAAUGGUCCUUGUUAUCUGGUCAGGAGGAUUCAGACCCUCUGCUCAGGAGAGGAUCCAAAUCCCAAUACUAAUAAGCAUAGAAAUUGAUAAUUAGCACUACGGUAUAGUGAUAUUUUUUUUCAUUUAUUAAUGAAAUGUUUUAGGUUUGAUUUUUGUUAAAGGUAAACUUGAACCAUAAUAUUACUAGCCUAUUAUGAGGUUUAGUUCACUCUUCAUCCCCUUAAUAUAAAUAAUAUUGUUUGUUAAAAAAAAAAAAUCAUAGACCGUUUAUUGAGUACAUGAUUUUCACACGUGGGGUUCAUAGUAAAUUAGUAUACUAGAUAGAUGGGAUCCAAAAUAACAUGUUGCCACGCAUGAGACGUUGGUCAGAGUAAUGGACAAAUACCAGAAAAGAACGAAAACAAAGCAACCUGGAACGAAUUUUGAGUUUAAAGAAGUUCAGUAGCGGGUUUUCAGUUUCAAGAAACAAAGUAAGAUUAAAAUUAAGUUCCAGGAAAUAAAGUGUUAACUUUUGAAUUUCAAAAAACAACAUGAGGUUGAAAUCAACUUCUAAGAACGUAGCUAAAAAUAAGCCUAAUUCAAUAAUAUGCGGAUGAUAAUAAUUGGAGGAUAUAUAGAGCCAAAAAUGUACGGGUUUGACAGAUAUGUAUACCACAGAUCGAUGGAAGCCAGCCCAGGUUCCACAUUUCCCUCAGGUAUGGAGUAACAUGUCAUGCCAACUCGGUAGUACUGGCCGGAACGAAAUAGAUUAUUGUUCUUUUUAAAACCCAUACCUGCAGUAUAAUGGGAUGUUAUUGGAGUGGUACCCAGGCUCUGCGACCAACUCAGCUUUACCAGAAAACGAUUCAAUUUUCUAAAUGAUUUCUUGUAAUGCACCAGCAACUUUCCAUAUGUAUGGUGAAAGAAAGUUGAGAUCAAUAGCCAGAAAUAAUUAUAAGUAAUACAGUUCGACUACGUUAAGUAUGACUUUUUACGUAGAAAUCAACUGACAUCUUACAUCAUAUGUUAAAUAUGGUUAAAUAAUAAAUAAUAUGAAACUGAGAUGCUAAAUUGUUAGUGUUAAACUAAUCAUGCGAUGUUAUUGUAUAUUAUAUGAAUUUGCUAAAGUUUUCUAUCAAUUUGAGUGGAUGCAUGCAUGCAUGAUGUCUUCAUCGAAAUGAACCAGCCAAAAUUGCAUUAUUUGAAGAUUAUAAGACAAUAUACGUAAAGCCAACAAAGAGAAAAUACAUGGAAUUUGGAACGAUCCAAAAACCAACAAAUUGAGCGUCACAUAUAUAGAUAUACGAAGAGGGAUCAUGUUCCAGUUGUAUAUGCAUUUGUAUAUGCAUGUACUUUGCUCUGCUCCCUUAAUGGAAAAUGCAUGAAUUCUGAGCUUGAUCAAUAAUAUCUAAGUUCUACACCUUUUUACUUACGUGGUUUGUGCGUUACUAAGCUUAAUUAGCAUAUAUUUGAACUAAACGACUAAAAUGACAAAUCAAUAAGACCAAACCUUUCUAUAUUUUGAGGUGCAUGCAGUCGUGCAGGUUUGGAACAAAAUUCUGAGAUGAUUUACAUUCUUAAGGCUUAACUAAUGUGUUAUCCUUUGAAAGUGUUCUCAAGUUUCACGUUGCCUUUUAUUUAACGUGCCUUCUAGACCCGUAAACGGGUCGGGUUUAUCGGGUUUGAGUUGGGUUCAAUCUAACCCGUUAAAUUAACAGGUCAUCCGAACUCAACCCGUUAAGCUAAAAGGUCACUCGAACCCGACCCGUCAAACUAACGGGUCAUCCGUUUCACCCGUUAACAAUUAUUAUUAAUUUUUUUUUUCAUAAAGUUUAUUUUUUGUUGUUAAGACUUUACUGAAAUUACUAAAACAUCCUCAACUAACGGGUUUAACGGGUUGAUCCAAAGUGACCCGUUAUUUAACGGAUUCACCCGUUAACGACCCGACCCGUUAAGCACCCAUCCAAAUACUAAUAUUAACGGGUCGGGUCGGGUCCAAAAUGUCAGGUGCCUUCUAAAUCAUGUUUUGAUGUCCCAUUUUACUUCUGCGUUUAAGUUUGUUUAAUUUUCUUUUUUCGUUCAAGAUCGAUGCAGAUGUGAAAAGGUAUAUAAAGUGGGAUUCGUAAACAUAAUUAAAAGGGCAGGUUGGGUCAAAAUGACUUUCAAGGAAGUGAGGCUCGCAAACACACUUUCAGAAGGAAUAAAACACUAAUUAAUUAAUCUUAUUCUUCAGUACUUAAUUACCCCAUAACUCCAAUGUAUAACCAAAACUAAUUUCUUUAUUAAUUGGUUGCAUGGAUACAACCAAUUAACGUAAACUUGAUUGAAUUAGGGUUUGCACGUCAAUGUAAACUAAGUGAUUAACUGUUAAUGACACUAUAUUACUAGUCUUAUGUUAGGUUAAUUCCAACAAAGAAUAAAUAGUCGUGGCAUUGACACAUUUGCUAAGCGACAUCAUGCAUGUGACACGGAGUCAGAGACCGAAAGUUGAAAGUUGAAAGUUGAAAGUUGAAAGAUGGGAUUUCUUGAAUUGGUUUUGAUUGGUAAGAAUGUUGAAAGUUGAUUUGGAAUGCAGCCGUCGAUGGAGGAGGACAAAAAGAGAUUUUUUAAUGUGAUCGGCACACGAGAUGGUACAUCACGUGUCACUAUACAAAUGGUGAGAUAUGUGUAUUAAAAAGUUAAUAACUUAAAAAAUAAAAAUUUUCACCACUGACAUAAAAACACGUGGUGUACUACCCGUAUUCCCGUCACAAUUAAAAAUUUCUCGAGGACAAAGGCGUCCAAGCUUCGUCAACUUAAUCAGUUUCAAUGUUUCGCAGCCCAUAGCUUUUCUCUAGUCUUUGGUUGAAUCUUAGAAACCCCUUGGUUUUAGGAGAAAUAUUUAAUGAGUGACACAGUUGAUAAAUUAAAAUUAAUUCAUGACCGCAAGAUUGAAUCAAAUGGCGAAGAUGACUUGAUCCGUUGGUCCGAAGAUGAUAUGAAUCCGUUGAUUGUCCUACAUUUAGUUUAUAUUAAUAAAAAACAAACUCACAUGCUAUAAGUUUAUAAGUUAAGUUAAAUAACGUCGUGUAAUCGUGUUUCAAGUACAAUAAAAAAAUGUCUUGUUUUAUAACUUGAAAGGAAAAUUAACCACCACAUUCAGAUUCAACCACCGGUAAUUACUUAUUAAGUAGCCCACUCUCUCUGACAUAGCAUCAAGCCAGCCACCAAGCUUCUUUGAUCACGUGUUCUUUGUUCAAUGCAUGCAAGGAGGCUAGUUAAGCCAUGCAUUUGACAAAUAAUAUUUGAUUAAUUUGUUAACUAGCUAGUUCUAGAUCCUGUAAUCUAUUGUUUAGCAGAUGAUCGAUCGAAAGCUAAAUGUUUUCACUGAUUUGGGCGUAACUUUUUUUCUUUUCGUACGCUUCUCUCUUGUUGAUGAAUCAUGAGCAUUGCCUUUUUGUGGCGUGCCUUCCUUUGGCUUUUACUGCUUAAUUAAGCUAUAAUUGCGAAAAAAGAGAACAUGGAAAAUGUAAUUACAGUGUUACCAAUCCACAUAGUAUGAUAUAAGCAUUGAUAUAAUCGAUGUUCUAUUGAUCUAGAGCAUAAUCUAGACUAUAUGUUGUAACAUAUAUAAGUAAAAAGAUAGCACUAUAUAAUGACGUGACAAAAGAUGAUUAAUUAAAGGGAUUUUUUGAUAUAGGCGCCUCAAUUUUGAAUUUUCUAGAUCAAACAUCCAUGUCUCUUAGUGAUUUGAUUAAACUUUUUUAUGUCAUAAUUUUGGUGUUAUAUGCACAUUAUAUUGUAACAAAUUUUCUAUAAUCAGCCUUUUGAUUACACUCUCCUCCGUUAGAGAUAAUUGUAAAAAAAAAAAUGGUUAGAUUCAAUUUAUUUUCACAAUAAUGCUACAAUUUAGCAAUAAUUAUCUAUGAUUUAAGAUAUUUUCUUUCAAAAAUAGUUUAAAAUAUUUUUAAAUCCCAUAAAAUCAAACGUACCGAAAUAAGUUUUUCUUUUAGUACAUUAAGAGAAAAUAUGAUUGAGAAUAAUAAAAACGUACCAAUACACAAUUUGUACAAAAUAAAACGUACCAAAAUAAAAAUAAUGUACCAAUAUUAAUAAUAUGUAUCAAAUCAAACUUACCAAAAUUGCAAAUAAACGUACCAAUUAAUGAUUUUUGUAAAUUCAAAUGUACCCCCAAAUAAUAUAUACAUAAUGUAUUGUACCUAAUAAUAAUUUGUCAACAACUAUACUUAAAAAAAACAAAAAUAAAAUUAUAAUUUCACAAAAAAAAUUACACGGAGCUUUUAUGUUGAUCACCAACUAUUUGAAAAAAGAAAUAAUAUUAAAUGUUUGCAUAACAAAAAAAAAAUUGUGAUCGAAAAAACAUAUCUGGAAGAAGAGAUAAUAUAGUUUAAUUACUAAUAUCUCCACUAAAUAAGGAAAAGUGCAUCAUGCAGAUAAAAGGAUAAAUUCAAAAAUUAUUUUAAUUUUUAAAAAUCUAAUAAUGACAUGUAAUUUAGCUUGAGGUGGCUAUUGGUCAAAACACUUUAAUCAAAUUUUAAAAAGACACGGAUGUUUAAUUUAAAUGAUAUAGAAGACGCUAGGGGAUUCUAAUUUUAUCUAAAUUAAAUAUUAACAUACAUGCUCCCUCUCUCUAAACAUAUUAAUAAAGGAACUUUGGGACAUGCAUUUGUGCAUCCAUAAGACACUUUUCCUAGUUAGGUUCUAAAAGACACUUGGUGCUAGUCGGGUGGCGGGUUGGGGCUUAGCGGAUAGGCGGGACCUAGGCGGACUAGACAAAUUUAUGUAAAUCUAUUAUAGUUCAUGUAAAUAAGUGUCAAUUUAUACUUAAAAUAUAAACAAUUUCAUCAUAAACUACAAAAAUAGAAUGACAUAUAUAUUAUGAAGUAUUAGAACAUAGUGAAAACAUAGAUAACAAGCAUAUAAUGUGUGUUCAUUUAAGUUUACAACAUGUCUCUUACAAUUUAUUGAAAAAAAUAAAAUGCAAAAUGAAAGUUAUUUAUUUUCUGUCUAAGUAAGUCACAACCUAGGUAUGUGUCUAGGCGGGUCUGGGCGGGCUAGGCGUUCUAAGCGGGCGCCUCAGCAGGUCUAGAUGUCAUUUCUUAAUUUUCAAAUGUCUAGGCAUUAAUUGGGACGGUGUCUAGCCGUCUAGUGCCGAACAGUUUCUGGCUACUUUAAUAAUUCAAGUAGAGGUUCAUGACCACUAUCAACGUUGAAAAAAAGAAGUACUAUUACCAUAAACUAAAUUACAGUAAUUUUAAAAGAUGGCAUGCUUGGGAAAAAUGGUUAUGGAGUAAAACUUUUCUCCUCCUCUCCUGUCUUUCUCGCUCAAUUCUCUUCUUCUUUCUCUCUAUAAAACUUGAUUGUGACCUUCAAAUAAAAGGAAACGUGAGAGAAAGAUAAUUUAGAAAGAAGCGAAUCUUUUCUUCUAUAAAUAAAGCCGGAGACCAGUUUUAGUGUCAUGGCUUUGACAAAAAUAUUAGGAAAAAAUUGCCCCUCAACCAAAAAAAUCCAAAAGCAGCUUAAUAUAAUAUCUCAAAUAAUGCAAGGGUAAUUUGGUAAUUUGAUCAUCAUAAAAUAUAAUAUAAAUAUUAGUGGGAAGAGAAAAAAGAAUAAAAAAUGGAAGGAUGAGUGAAAGUUGAUGGUGGCCACAGGGGAAACAAAAAUAUGAUAAAAAAAAUAAGAAAAAUUAUGAAUAUUGUGUUCAAAACAUCUUAAGAGGCGCAUAAUGCUGGUGAUAAAUUUGUAAAGUUUUUUUUAAAAAAAUUAGUACCUUACAAUAGGCUAGCAAUAAUAUGAUUUAAUCAGAUGUUGUGAAUAGUGAUUUUGGUGUCACCAAGCUGUUCAAAACAUCUUAAGAUGCGUGUAAUGCCAGUUAUAAAAAGAGUCUUUCGCAUGCUGAUAAUAAUGUGAUUAAAUUAGUUGUCAAAUGAUUGUUUUUUUUAACAAAUGAUAUUAUCUACACAAAGGGGGAGGGGGUGAACUUAGCUUCACAAUGGGCUAGCAAUAAUAUGAUUCAAUCAAUUGUUCAUUCAAUAUUAUUUUCUCCAUUUUUAAACACGUUCAAAACAUCUUAAGAGGCGUGUAAUGCCGGUUAUAAAAAAAAAGUAUUUCUCAUGUGAAUAAUAAUAUGAUUAAAUUAGUUAUCAAAUGAUUUUUUUUUAACAAACGAUAUUAUCUACACUAAGGGAGAUUGGUGAGCUUAGCAUCAUAAUAGGCUAGUAAUAAUGUUAUUUAAUCAAUUGUUCAUUAAAUAUUAUUUUCUUUAUUCUUAUUAUAAAUUCUAUAGAGACCGAUUUUAUUAUGUGAAUUCAACUACUUUAAUUGGUUUAUGAGAGACUUCUUCUAGCGUGCUCUAAAAUUAUUCAUUUACUUCAAAUAUUUGACUUUCCUUUUGUCAAUUUAUGCAUAUAAAUACAUUUAGAAUAUGUAAGUCGAUCAUAACAUGUCGUAAUUAAAAAAAUGUCUUAUGCACGGACGUGAACGUGUGCAUGAAGAUUAGUAAACAUAUAAAAGUGGUAGGGGUCCAUUGGCCGCAGCCUCAGGACAAAAAUUGGUAGGGGUCCAUCAGGACGUGCUUACUGUUCCCUACUUACUUACAUACUUCCUCGAGUCCUGUUCUUUUUAAAUUUAUUUUAUUUCAAUUUCUAAUCUUAAUUUUAUUUUCUAAUUUAUCAUUUCCUUUUACACUUAGAUAUAUGUACUUGUAAAUUCUUCUUUAAUAGUGUAUUAUUUUGCUUUACCGUCUACAAUUACCAAAUUUGGAAAUUGGUACAUGGAUUCUCAUGUUUUGCAUUUAGACAGUGCAUUUACAUUUUUGUUAUACAAAAUUUAUAUGUAUUGUGUGUAAAUACAAAUGCUCAUAAUCGAAAAUGACAUGAUGUAUUUUUUUGUUCACUUGUUAUACUUUACCAUGUAUAUUUGGAUUAAAUUCUAAUACGUACCAUAAAUAUUUGAAUUUUGAUAAGAUCACAUUCGACUUGAACUAGUAAUUCGACAUAAAAGAUUAUAUAAAAAAAUCCAAGUUAUUUACGGAUCUGCCACUCCUUUAGAGCUAUAAAUUGCACCAUAGCUAUGGGUACUCCACUCAACAAAAAUAAAGGCUACACACAGAGCAUACAAACCAAGCAAUCCAAAGAGAAAUGGCGACUUUCCCAGUUGUUGACUUGAGCCUUGUCAAUGGUGAAGAGAGAGCAGCAACCUUGGAGAAGAUCAAUGAUGCUUGUGAGAACUGGGGUUUCUUUGAGGUAACCCAACAAGCUGUGAGAUCUUUUAUUUUUAUCCCUCCUCGAGGCACCAACUAGACGUCCGCCCCUCGUGUGCUUAGAGGGGAAAUCUGUAAAGUAAAUCUGUCUCUAAGCGCAAGAGGGUCGGAAAACAAAUGCGCCGCCCUAGUUGCUCAGUUUUAUGGUGCUGCGUUAGUUUCUGUAGAAUUAUGACAUUUCUAUGUGUUUCUAACUCUUUUGUGUGUAAAUAACUGAAGCUGGUGAACCAUGGGAUGUCUACUGAGCUUUUGGACACUGUGGAGAAGAUGACCAAGGAUCACUACAAGAAGACCAUGGAGCAAAGGUUUAAGGAAAUGGUGGCAGCCAAAGGCCUCGACGAUGUCCAGUCCGAAAUCCACGACUUGGACUGGGAAAGCACCUUCUUCUUGCGCCACCUUCCUUCCUCAAACAUUUCCGAAAUCCCUGAUCUCGAGGAAGAGUACAGGUCACACACUAAUCACAACAAGCUUAAUUAAUUUUCCACAUACUUGGGCUUAGUCAGGUUGGCUAGAGCACCCGUGCGGCCCCUCGUUGCACUUAAGUUCGAAUCUCCUCCAUGUAGGUUAGAUUGUAUUAGAAUAUCUUAUUGAUUUUCUUGUAUUUAUUUUGAACGAUAUUUCAGGAAGACCAUGAAGGAAUUUGCAGUGGAACUGGAGAAGCUAGCUGAGAAGCUUUUGGACUUGCUGUGUGAGAAUCUUGGACUCGAGAAGGGUUAUCUGAAGAAGGUUUUCUAUGGAUCCAAGGGUCCGAAUUUUGGGACCAAGGUCAGCAACUACCCUCCAUGCCCCAAGCCAGACCUGAUCAAGGGACUCCGGGCCCACAGCGACGCCGGUGGCAUCAUCCUGCUUUUCCAGGAUGACAAGGUCAGCGGCCUCCAGCUUCUCAAGGAUGGUGAAUGGGUGGAUGUCCCCCCAAUGCACCACUCCAUUGUCAUAAACUUAGGUGACCAGAUUGAGGUAUACCAGUUACCCGACUACCCAUUUUUUAUGGAACGGAAGUCUGAUGUGUCAUCAAUAUGUAUUGAUAUCAUUGUCGUCAACAAAACUUACAUACAUGUUACCAAUACAUUUCAAUUCUCGACCAAUAUAUAAUGAAGAGCGGACGUCAUGCACAUAUAACUAGUACUUUUGCUAUCAAGUUUACUGAAUCGUAUACUUUUAAUUAUUUGAUGCACAUAUAACUAGUACUUUCGCUAUCAAGUUUACUGAAUCGUAUACUUUUAAUUAUUUGAUGCAGGUGAUCACCAAUGGGAAGUACAAAAGUGUGAUGCACCGGGUGAUAGCUCAGUCGGAUGGGACCAGAAUGUCGAUAGCCUCGUUCUACAACCCAGGCAACGACUCAUUCAUCAGCCCAGCACCGGCAGUGCUUGAGAAGAAAACUGAGGACGCCCCAACUUAUCCCAAGUUUGUGUUUGAUGACUACAUGAAGCUGUAUUCUGGCCUGAAAUUCCAAGCCAAGGAGCCAAGAUUUGAAGCUAUGAAGGCCAAGGAAUCCACCCCUGUUGCAACUGCCUGAGCUCUGAGAGCCGUCCGAGAACAUGGCACAAAAAUAAUUAAAAUUAGGGUUUGGGUUUUAUGCUUUUGUGCCAAAUAAAGUUGGGGAGAAGAAAGUUUGGGUUUAUUUUGUUUUCUUUUAUUUUUUAUUCCACUGUUUGUGUAGUUGAAAUCUAUCUAUAUAAAAUACAAAUGUUUGCUCCACAAUUUUUGUAGUUGAAAUCUAUCUAUAUAAAAUACAAAUGAUUAGAUUCCAAAUACAAAUAAUUAGAUGCCUAAUACUCGAGGGACCCAUCACCAUGUUCUUCAAAGUUAAUUAAUCUUUCAUUAUGUUAAAUUAUAACAUGCAGAUUAGUAAAAUCAUGUGAUUGGGAUGG
rnacentral:lncRNA from 1 species